UACGUAGGGUGCGAGCGUUGUCCGGAAUUAUUGGGCGUAAAGGGCUCGUAGGCGGUUUGUCGCGUCGGGAGUGAAAAACUCAGGGCUUAACCCUGAGCCUGCUUCCGAUACGGGCAGACUAGAGGUAUGCAGGGGGAGAACGGAAUUCCUGGUGUAGCGGUGAAAUGCGCAGAUAUCAGGAGGAACACCGGUGGCGAAGGCGGUUCUCUGGGCAUUACCUGACGCUGAGGAGCGAAAGUGUGGGGGAGCGAACAGG
rnacentral:rRNA from 1 species